GCGGAAAUAGCUCAGUUGGUAGAGCACAACCUUGCCAAGGUUGGGGUCGCGAGUUCGAGUCUCGUUUUCCGCUC
rnacentral:tRNA from 18 species